GACGAACCGAGCGAACGUUGUUCGGAAUCACUGGGCUUAAAGGGCGCGUAGGCGGGCUGUCAAGUCUGGGGUGAAAUCCCGCGGCUCAACCGCGGAACUGCCUCAGAUACUGACGGUCUCGAGGGAGGUAGGGGCGAGCGGAACUGAUGGUGGAGCGGUGAAAUGCGUUGAUAUCAUCAGGAACUCCGGUGGCGAAGGCGGCUCGCUGGACCUCUUCUGACGCUGAGGUGCGAAAGCGUGGGGAGCAAACAGG
rnacentral:rRNA from 1 species